GACAUACAAAGGUUUGGGUCCUACAGGUUGCGGGAGAAACCAUUUUGCAGACACUGGUCUGGCUGCCAAGAGAAUGGACCAUCUCUUCUUUCCCUCCAAGAGGCAGAUAAGACCCUCAGGCAGUGUCACACCUGUUCUUCUUUACUGCACAGGAACAUCUGUGCUCCAGUUUUGACCGCUUAUUUGCAGAACAACUAGAGUUCACAAAAAUGUAUUUUAUUGAAAUGAAUCACACAAAAUACUCGUCCUUACUGAAGCGUCUCAGAAAUGAGGACAGUCAUUAUCUUUCUUUCCAUUUCUUUGAGCCACAAUAUCUGGAUGACUGUGCACUUUGCUUCUGGUUUAAAGAUCAGAAAGUUUGGUGGGGAUUCUCACGUGACUUCUUUGUCUCAAUCAAUGUUUUUUCUAAUUUUUUAAACAAAUGAUUAACUGUUGAAGUGCCACCAAAAAUAGUUAAUGUUAAAAUUUAAUGUGGCACCACAAGUAUGACUGGCAAUAUGUGUUAUAAAUACAAAUAUGAGCAUAAACAACUUUCCAUCUUCUUGUGGGAGUGAAAACCAUACUGUACGUCACAACAUGUUAUGGGUAUAAAUAUUAAUUUAAAUGUAUUUUUACAUAGAAAAUUACAUGAGACUUUACAGAAUGAUAAAAACCAUCUACAGAUACACAAUUGUGUUCAUACUAAACUUAAUCUUAGUCCCAACCCCAAAAUUGACUUGAUCACCACUGUAGAUGUCUAUAAAUGCUUUAUUAACAUUCUAUAGAGCAAUUGACAAUGAAUAGAACAUUUUUUAAGCUUUCAUUUCUAUAGCUUAGUCAAAAUUCCUGAAUUACAAUACUGCAGUAGAUUUACAUUUGUUUCUCAUAGUAAAAUAUUUUUAAUAUCCUACAUCAGUGAAAAAACUGAGCAAUUUUCUUUUCAGUUUAGUUCAGUUUCAGUUCAGUCUCAGAAACAACCUUGCCUGCAUUUGAUUAAAAAGUAUUGUUUAGUGUCUUAUGUUGUUUCAUAGACGUUUAGUAUUAAGUAUGCAAAGAUGUGGGUUUAAUCUUUAUCAAACAGUUUAUUUUAUAUUUGCAGUUUCACAUUAAAUGACUAGGUAUGUCUUUUUAAAUUUCCAUUGGGGGGGAAAAAAGUUUUUGUAUUGUUUCCCAAUGUAUAUAACAAUUUAAAAUAGUUUCAGAAUGUUUGUAUUAGUUUUUUUAAGUAUUUAUGCACUAUAGUUAAACCUUCCCAACUAUCUUUUAUCUACCUGUGGCUAUUAAUAUAUGUCAUGUUUUGUGAAACAUAAUGUGUCAUUUAUAUUCAUUAAGAAUUUGAUAAUAACUGUGUUUUCUUUCAUAAUAUGCAUUUUCUGAAUUGGGCGCUUUUUCAAAGACUGCUUCCUUCAAUUAAUCUGGGGUCUUUUGCCUGUAAAUAAAAAAUAAUUUAAAGGAUAGCUCCUAGCAUUUUCAAAAAGCUGUUUGGGAUGAAACUUUAUAGGUGCAUUUUGUAUAAAGAAUAUACAAGUGCUCAGGGCUAUCAAUGUAAUUUUGAGUCUGGCAUGAACAACAAAGUUACCAAGUCAAACAGAAUAAGAAAAAAACACAAGUACUGUAUAUAAACUGUGGCUUUAUGAUUUUUUAAAUUAUAAUAUUAUAAUAACUGACUUUAUGGUCAGUUUUCUAAGAUUACUAGUCUCAAACCAUAAGUUAAUAUGGAAAUGAAAACAUACUUUAACCAGCUCUACAACCUGUGUCUUAUCAAGAUAAUUGGUGUUUUAGAUUAUUUAAGCAGUGAAGCCUAAAUAAUUAAUUAUGGCAGUUUUUUUUGUGGUUUCCUUUCAAACAGACGAAGACUACAAUAAUGAACUAAUGUGCUGUGUGGCAGAAUAGGAUUGUAUCCCCAACUGUCAUUUAAAUAAUUUUACAUUGGGUUGUAAUAUAUGUACUUAUAAUUGAUUAUUUUGUAGACAAUUGUCAAGGUAUUUAAUGACUAAGUCCACAUUAUAACUACUCAACCUUCUUCUGCUUUCCAUGGAUAUUUAGGUGUAUAAUUUUUUAAAUAUGCAACAUUUUCAUGACAGCCUUUCAUAUCUGUUUAAAAUAUCCCUGCUAUGCUCUUAAUCCUGUAAAAAGAUAAGCAUAUGGGAGACUUCAAAAAUAUGGAACAAUUCACAAGGCACACACUGUCCAGCCUAUACUCCUACUUUCUGCAGUAAAAAAUCUGCAAUUCCUGCAGUAAAAAUGAUAUAAAAGAGCUUCAUCAUAUUGAUUAGACUUGUUUAAACCUGGAUAAGAGGUAAGCUGUUUUUGCUGACUUGUUUAAUCUUUUUUACUGGUUCUGAUAUUCUUGACAAUACUUAUAUUAUUGUAUUUUUUGCUAUUUGUA